AAGAACGCACGGAUCAACUUAAGCUUGUAAAGUAAACGUGAAAUACAACUCUCUUCGCUGAUAUCAUAGAGGCUGUCACACAAUCUGACCGGAGCAAUUGUGUGAUGGGGGAAAAGGGUAGUUUUGUGGUGCCUGAGUUGGCCGUUGAGGAUGAAGAAGAGGGUUUUGGGAGGAAGUAUGCGACGGAAGGGAAAAAGAGAAAGAAGGUUAGUGGGAAGGAGAGGAAGAAGGUUAGCAAGGGAGAGAAGAAGUAUGGAAUUAGUGGGGGGGAGGAGGGAAGUCAUUCAAAAUCAGGAUUGAUGAAGAAGGGAAUGUAUUCAGAGAAGCUGGCCGGAAAGGAAGAUGGUGAGGUCAAGGGGAUGUGGGAUACUAUUGCUGGCGGUGAUUCUGAGGAUGAUCAAGAGGGUCUCAGGAAUGUAGAUGAUGACAACUUCAUAGAUGACAGUGCUUUAGAUCCUGCUGAUCGAUAUGUGAGUGACAAUGAACCACGCUGUCCUGGUGAUGCUCCUCAGUUGUUACAAGUGUCUUCUGUUGCUGCAUUCCUUCUCGAUAACAUUCUAUCUUAUGCCCUAAUUCUGGUUCUUGCCCCCACCACUACCUCUCUCCUGCUGAAGACGGUUGAGGGGAAGAUGAUUGAAAUAGAGAAACAAGCUUUUUCAAAAUUGGAGUAUCACACUAAAUCCCUAAUCUUCUCACUUCCUUUACUGAGGUUACAUCUCGAAAGAAGUAAUGAAGAGGAUGCAGAAUUAAAUAGACGGGGAAAACCUGCCAUCAAUAAACUUAAAAAGUCACCACUUCUUACUGAGGUUCUCUCAAAGAAGCAGCUCCAGCAGGAAUUCAUAGAUCAUGGGGUACUAACUCUUUUAAAAAUUUGGCUUGAACCCCUUCCAGAUGGAAGUUUGCCUAAUAUAAAUAUACGUGCAGCAAUUUUGACGAUUUUGACUGACUCCAAUAUGUCUUUGUAUAGGCUGAUUAUGUUCUUAUCAAAAUCUGACGAGGGAAAAACCAGAUCCAACAGGAAAACUUGCUAAGGAUUUUGGUUGAUAAAUGGAGUCGACCCAUAUUUGAUAAGAGUACGAGGUUUGAAGAUAUGAGAAACAUUAAUGAUGAUCGGGCCUUCCGAAGGCCAACAAUAAGGAGGCCAGUGAAUAAUUCUACAUUGAUGGAAUGUACAGAUGGUGAUCUGGAUUUGGAUAUUUCAAGGAAACGAAGAUCUGGCCAAUCAUCUUUAAGGCAACGUGCUUCUAGGCCACAAGCAACUCCACUGGACUUUGUAGUGCGCCCUCAGUCUAAGAUUGACCCUGAAGAAAUUAGAGCCCGUGCUAAACAAGUACUCCGGACACAGGAAAGGAAAAGGAAGUUAAAGAGGAAAUUGUGUAUUACCUGAAUAUUAUAUUAUUAUAGAUUAUAAUUACGUGACAGAAAUUUGAUUUUAUUAAUGAUAGGAC